ACUUAGUUAGAAUAAAAUAAGUUGAUCAAAACACAAAGGAUUAACGAUUAAUAAUAAAUUGAUAAGAUAAUCUGUUUGAUAAAAAAAAAAUACAUAGCACUAUAAUAAAAAGAUAAGACACUUUAUUCAGUCCCGUCACUUCGAUCGGCUGGCUCUAGUACAAAAAUGAAAAUAUUUAUAAGUGUCAUCACGACUUUGUUGUUGAACCCGAAUUCUAUGUCUGUCUCAGGAGUGGAGACGAUACCAGAUUCAAUAAAUCCCGUGUGCUUCCAAUUCACGUGGCCAGGCCCCAGAUAUGACAACACCAGUCAAAUUAAUAUAGAUUGUAAGAAACACAACGAGCCGUGCUUUAAACCGAUUGUUGCUACACCUGAUUCAACUCCACCAAACACAACUUAUAUGUGGCAUUAUGAAAACCGAACAUUAGUAACAUGUCCUAUGAGAA
rnacentral:misc_RNA from 1 species